ACACUUCAACCGUGUUCAACGUUGAGGAGCCCGAUCCCAUAGUCUGAACCCCAAAGCGCGACCCAGCCUCUUGCCGACCCCAACUACGACCACCUCUGAUCCCUUCUCUGCCUCCGACCGACGAAGUCUCAAAUCUCUCUCAAACAAAGCCUUCAAAUUUCUCUUACUUUAGCUUUCAUUCUCUAACCUCAAAAUCAAUGGUGUCGUUUGCUGAAGACUGACCGAGGGCGGAGAGAAGAUUUUCAAGAUCAAGUGCGCUUAAUGCCACACCGUCAACAAAGGCACGGACCACAAAUGGGAGACGAAUCUGUCGAGGUCACCCCUAGAGAACCAUGAUGCCUCGCAGGCUAUGGGUAAAGCUAUGGAGGUCAUAUAUUUCAGGAGGUAACUUGGAGGAAGCCAUUGAGCAUCUUACUGAGGCAAUUUUGCUCAAUUGUACUUCGGCUAUUAUGUACGGCACAAAAGCCAGUGUGUACAUAAAAAUGAAAAAACUUAAUGCUGCCAUCCGUGAUGCCAACGCUGCUCUUGAGACUACAAAUCUCGUGGCAUAGCUCACUCCAUGCUUGGUAAUUGGGAAGAGGCUGCGAAGGAUCUCCACUUGGCAUCAAAGCUAGACUUUGAUGAGGAAAUUAGUGUCAUACUAAGAAGGUUAAAUCUACAUCCCGCAAGAAAUAUUGUGUAUGACCAAAUGUAGUUGUUAUCUUGCCAAAAUCAGCUUGUGAAUUCUCAGGAACUGGUGCAAUACUCAUGUGUUAGGUCAAGGCUGCAAAGCAACAAAACUUGUGGAGAGGACUGAAGUUAAACCCAGGUCUUUUGUAGCACAUACAAUGGCAAAUUGGCAAUGACAUGGAUUGAAGAACAUCCCUUUUUCUCAGACUUGAAAUGUUGCUUCUGAUAUCAGUGUAAUUGCUUGAGGUCUCUCAAUUGGAAAGGUAAGAGUUACUUAAACAGUCAAAUCUGUUAAGAGGAGGCUUGCAAACACUAGAGUAAUUGGUUGAGGAAAAUUCUGCAAAGCUUAUCUUGAAGUAUAGGAACAAAUGUACAUUGUACUAUCUUGUAAACUUGUGUAAGAGCUUUCAUCUUUUGUAAC